rnacentral:lncRNA from 1 species
CCUUUAGCUCCUUGGUUACUUUCUCUAGCUCCUCCACUGGGGGCCCUGUGAUCCAUCCAAUAGCUGACUGUGAGCAUCCACUUCUGUGUUUGCUAGGCCGCGGUAUAGUCUCACAAGAGACAGCUAUAUCUGGGUCCUUUCAGCAAAAUCUUGCUAGUGUAUGCAAUGGUAUCAGCAUUUGGAGGCUGAUUAUGGGAUGGAUCCCCAGAUAUGGCAGUCUCUAGAUGGUCCAUCCUUUCAUCUCAGCUCCAAACUGUGUCUCUUUAACUCCUCCCAUGGGUGUUUUGUUCCUAAUUCUAAGAAGGGAUAUGGGUACAAGGGAAAAAUUCCUGAAUAGAACAGCAAUGGCUUGUGCUGUAAGAUCGAGGAUUGACAAAUGGGACCUCAUAAAAUUGCAAAGCUUCUGCAAGGCAAAAGACACCGUCAAUAAGACAAAAAGGCCACCAACAGAUUAGGAAAGGAUCUUUACCUAUCCUAAAUCAGAUAGGGGACUAAUAUCCAAUAUAUAAAAAGAACUCAAGAAGGUGGACUCCAGAAAAUCAAAUAACCCCAUUAAAAAUGGGGCUCAGAACUAAACAAAGAAUUCUCACCUGAGGAAUAACGAAUGGCAGAGAAGCACCUGAAAAAAUGUUCAACAUCCUUAAUCAUCAGGGAAAUGCAAAUCAAAAGAACCCUAAGAUUCCACCUCACACCAGUCAGAAUGGCUAAGAUCAAAAAUUCAGGUGACAGCAGAUGCUGGCGAGGAUAUGGAGAAAGAGGAACACUCCUCCAUUGUUGGUGGGAUUGCAAGCUUGUACAACCACUCUGGAAAUCAGUCUGGCGGUUCCUCAGAAAAUUGGACAUAGUGCUACUGGAGGAUGGAGGAUCCUGCAAUACCUCUCCUGGGCAUAUAUCCAGAAGAUGUUCCAACCGGUAAGAAGGACACAUGCUCCACUAUGUUCAUAGCAGCCUUAUUUAUAAUAGCCAGAAGCUGGAAAGAACCCAGAUGCCCCUCAACAGAGGAAUGGAUACAGAAAACGUGGUACAUUUACACAAUGUACCACACAAUUACACUCAGCUAUUAAAAAGAAUGAAUUUAUGAAAUUCCUAGGCAAAUGGAUGGACCUGGAGGGCGUCAUCCUGAGUGAGGUAACACAUUCACAAAGGAACUCACACAAUAUGUACUCACUGAUAAGUGGAUAUUAGCCCUGAACCACAUUUCUUGAGGCAGCAACGGCUCUCCACAGUUUGGUCCAUGAGGCUUGGGAAACAUCUAUAAUGUUUAAUUUAUAUAAUUCCUAAUGUGACAGUAACUGUCUAACAAAAGGACUGACAUCUCAAGCUUGGUGUCACCUAAGGACAUAUUUAGCAGAACUUAGUGGAAUUUAUGUGGAGGAGACAAUUAGUGCAGCAUUGUAAUUAAAAGGCUCCAUUGCUGUGAAGCCAUUAGAAAAGAUAGGACUUUUGGCCGAGGAUUUUGAGAUCAGAAGAGCAUAGAUGUGGACAUUCUUAUUCCACGUCUCAAACCCCAUUGCCCAUCCUAUGUGCUACCCAGCAGCCCUUCAGGGGCAUAAGGACCCUGGGAACUGAGAGAAGCCGUGUCUAUGGUCAGAAAUGCAAACUAGAAAUUAAAAUUUAAGAGGCAU